rnacentral:rRNA from 1 species
UCCGGAGGGUGCAAUCGUUGCUCGGAAUUACUGGGCGUAAAGCGCGUGUAGGCGGUCUCGUGUGUCUGGCGUGAAAGCCCCGGGCUCACCCCGGGAAGUGCGUUGGAAACUGCGAGACUAGAGUUCCGGAGAGGAAGGUGGAAUUCCAGGUGUAGCGGUGAAAUGCGUAGAUAUCUGGAAGAACACCGGUGGCGAAGGCGGCCUUCUGGACGGUGACUGACGCUGAGACGCGAAAGCGUGGGGAGAAAACAGG